GACGAACGCUGGCGGCGUGCUUAACACAUGCAAGUCGAACGGAAAGGCCCUGCUUUUGUGGGGUGCUCGAGUGGCGAACGGGUGAGUAACACGUGAGUAACCUGCCCUUGACUUUGGGAUAACAUCAGGAAACUGGGGCUAAUACCGGAUAGGAGCUCCUGCUGCAUGGUGGGGGUUGGAAAGUUUCGGCGGUUGGGGAUGGACUCGCGGCUUAUCAGCUUGUUGGUGGGGUAGUGGCUUACCAAGGCUUUGACGGGUAGCCGGCCUGAGAGGGUGACCGGCCACAUUGGGACUGAGAUACGGCCCAGACUCCUACGGGAGGCAGCAGUGGGGAAUAUUGCACAAUGGGCGGAAGCCUGAUGCAGCAACGCCGCGUGCGGGAUGACGGCCUUCGGGUUGUAAACCGCUUUCGCCUGUGACGAAGCGUGAGUGACGGUAAUGGGUAAAGAAGCACCGGCUAACUACGUG
rnacentral:rRNA from 1 species